GUGUCAGCAGCCGCGGUAAUACGUAGGGGGCCAGCGUUGCUCGGAAUUACUGGGCGUAAAGGGUCCGUAGGCGGUGUAGCAAGUCGAUAGUGAAAUCUCUGGGCUUAACCCAGAGGCUGCUAACGAAACUGCUGUGCUAGAGUGUGAGAGAGGCGAGUGGAAUUACGGGUGUAGCGGUGAAAUGCGUAGAUAUCCGUAGGAACAUCCGAGGCGAAGGCGGCUCGCUGGAUCACAACUGACGCUGAGGGACGAAAGCUAGGGGAGCAAACAGGAUUAGAUACCCUGGUAGUCC
rnacentral:rRNA from 1 species